rnacentral:lncRNA from 1 species
AUAAUAGUGUCAAUGAACACAAAUCCAACAGGCCCCAUCAUUCUUCAAUCACAAGCAUCUUGGAACUUGUCAAGUUUAACUGGAAAUGAUUCGCAGUUCAUUAAUUCAACUGACACUUUAUUCCUGCAAAUUCUUGACUUGUAAUAUUAUAAUCAAGCUACUACAAGGGAACAUUAAUCAGUUUGUGGAAAGGGAGCACUUCCUUCGAGGGUGAGCCAUGAAGUACCCAGGCCUGAAGAUAAAGACCUCUGUGAAGCAGAGCUAAUGAAUUCGUACAACCUGGUUCCUCUUCAUCGAUGCUAGGAACAUACAGAUGCUUCAUUUUUUAUGCCACUAAGUGUUGCUUUGGGAAAGAAAGAGAGAGAGAAAUUUAUCAAUGAAUUCUUGGGGGCUUGUGCAGCUCAGAGAAUGGGUAUGAGUCAUGGAGAAUUCCUUUAAGUGGAUUCAAAUCCACUUGUUUGGAAAUGAAAAAAAGUCACUGUCACCUGUUUAGUCAUUGACCUUUGUCUGCAUACAGUUGCUGCUUUUACUGCAUUUCUUGAGACUACCAUUAUUAGCUUUGUAAUAAGCAAUUUGUAAAAAUUGAGUUUAUAAUUCAAUUUCAGAGGUAAAAUCUGUGUGGAUAUAGCUAUUGAAUGAUUUGAUUCUCUGACUUGUUAGAUGAUGACAUUAUCACUUCCAAACUGAGAUCCAUUUCUAUGUGGAAUUAGCCACCCUAUGGCUUCUCAGAUCACACAGAACCUUGGUUACACGCUCCAAGAUCUCCACUAUGAUAUUCUUAAUGCCUCUGUGUUCACUUAGAAGUAAACAAGUGAUCUCAUAGUUUUAAAUUAUAGUUCUCUCCCACUUGCUUCUCUUUUUUUCAAAGAUUUGAGUUAUAAGGUAAGAAUGAGGUCAUCAGACAUUUUCAAUUUGAUCAUAGUUUCAGAGUAUUCAAGAGAGUCACGUAUCCAUAUGUUCUUAUGAAGUCUUCUGUCUAAUCUUUUGUUGUCACAGUUUUAGGAAUUAGCCCUAAAUGAAUGAGUGGAAGUAAUUAGAUCAAACCAAUGGUAGUCUAGAAGAAAAGUGAGACGAGAAAGAAGCAGGGAUCGUUUUUCUUGUGCUUCAAAGAUGUUUCUCUUCCUACAUGAUCAUCUUGGUGGUUGUCUCCAAGAUGCACCAAGAGCUACUAAAUAAUAAUCCAAGUUCUCAACUCUAGGAUCACAGCCAGUCCUUUAUGAGAACUAGCUCUUGGCAUAAGCACUGAAAUUGAAUAAUAGAAAAGUGGCCUACCACCAUGUGACUUACUCUCAAUUGCAAGGCAAUGAAAACGUGCAACUUGAAGAAAAGUUCAUUUUUGAAGUCUAAAGAGAACUUAAGCACAAAGACACUCUGUAACAUACAGUGAGGUGGUUGACUGUGGGGACAAAGGAGCAAUAAACAGUCCUCUUGGACAAGGCUUAUGGGAAAG